GGGAAACAUCGUUUGAAGAUUGUGGAAUUCUUUUCCGUGCUACUGAAAGCUGGCAAUGAAGCUGCAGAGAAAGAGUUGAUCAGCUCUGGAGCAAUUGAAAGAAUCCUGGAUCUCUUUUUUGAGUACCCUUACAAUAAUGCAUUACAUCAUCACGUGGAGAGUAUAAUAAUCUCCUGCAUGGAAAGCAAAAACAAAAUAAUUGUUGACCAUCUUUUUGAAGAGUGUGAU
rnacentral:misc_RNA from 1 species